GAGAGAGAGAUGGACUCCAAUUGCCUCUGAUGCAGUUCAAUGAACAGUAAUUAGCAUAAGAUUAAAAACAGCCAAGUUGGAUAGCAACAGUGGAUAAAGCAGAAACUGUGAACCAAAGACACAAGAAUCAAACUUUUGAUGUUUAAUCUAACUUUGAGUGCGAGCAGCAGCUAAGACAUCCAGGAGAUGCAACCUGGCCAGGCAAUGGGAGGAAAGAGUGACGUUAGAAGACACUUUACCAUCAUGUGAUUUGCAUGCACAUGGCCACAAGUUCAGAUAUUGACAGUGUGAGGAGCUACAGCUAGAUUAAGAUAAUAACUAUGUUAUUGCUCUAGAAAGGCCUGGCCAUGUGGCUUUGAGACAUGAUUUCAAAUCCUGCCAUGGCAA